rnacentral:rRNA from 1 species
GACGGAGGGUGCAAGCGUUGUUCGGAAUUACUGGGCGUAAAGGGCGCGUAGGCGGUCUGUUAAGUUCGGUGUGAAAGCCCCCGGCUCACCUGGGGAACUGCGCCGGAAACCGACAGACUCGAGUACCGGAGAGGAGGGUGGAAUUCCUGGUGUAGCGGUGAAAUGCGUAGAUAUCAGGAGGAACACCGGUGGCGAAGGCGGCCCUCUGGACGGAUACUGACGCUGGAGGCGCGAAAAGCCGUGGGGAUCAAACAGG